GAUGAAGAACGCAGCGAAAUGCGAUAAGUAGUGUGAAUUGCAGAAUUCAGUGAAUCAUCGAAUCUUUGAACGCACAUUGCGCCCCUUGGUAUCCCGAGGGGCAUGCCUGUUCGAGCGUCAUUUCACCACUCAAGCCUGGCUUGGUGUUGGGCGACGUCCUCUUUGGGGACGCGCCUCGAAACGCUCGGCGGCGUGGCACCGGCUUUAAGCGUAGCAGAAUCUUUCGCUUUGGAAGUCGGGGCCCCGUCUGCCGGAAGACCUACUCGCAAGGUUGACCUCGGAUCAGGCAGGGAUACCCGCUGAACUUAAGCAUAUCAAUAAGCGGAUGA
rnacentral:misc_RNA from 1 species